UACGAAGGGGGCUAGCGUUGCUCGGAAUCACUGGGCGUAAAGGGUGCGUAGGCGGGUCUUUAAGUCAGGGGUGAAAUCCUGGAGCUCAACUCCAGAACUGCCUUUGAUACUGAGAUCUUGAGUUCGGGAGAGGUGAGUGGAACUGCGAGUGUAGAGGUGAAAUUCGUAGAUAUUCGCAAGAACACCAGUGGCGAAGGCGGCUCACUGGCCCGAUACUGACGCUGAGGCACGAAAGCGUGGGGAGCAAACAGG
rnacentral:rRNA from 1 species